GGAGGAGUUAAUGUUUCAUCUCAUGGCACCUGACAAUGGUAGCUUUAUGUUUCAAUUUUUGAGAGGCUUCCAAGCUGAUGUCCAUAAGAUCUGAAAUAAUUUACAUCUGUGCCAGCACUGAGUUCCCAAGUCUUCAAAUAUUUGCACAGUGAAUAAGACACCCUCUACAGCAGGAAAUGGAAACGGCCAUUGGAGCCAGCGCAUUUGUUAUUGUCAACUUGUUUAACCUUUGCUUUCAGACAUUUCAAAAUAUUUGCUUCUAGCAUCUUCUGUCCCAAGAUGUAUUCUGACUCAGCAGCAGGUACUAGGCCAAAGUUUGGUGGGGGCCAUAUCUUCAACUUCUGCAGUUUCACCUGGCAACAGGCAUGUCUAGAGUCACGUGUUUGUCUGGUGAAGGAAGCAGUAAGCAAAACAAAGCUUGCUGUGGUUUUGCAGGUUGCUUUGCCGUGGGGACAUGGGAAGCGAUGCUAAGUGUUCUGCAAAGCAGGACUAAAAUAGCAUCUUCUUGUACAUACAAUAAAAUUGUCCACAGUGUCAUGUACCCAUGCCAUUGCUCAGUGUGAUGUUACUUUCCUCCUUCUCUCUCUGCCCCAAUUUAUACAUACACAUAUGUGUAUAUACAUAUAUAUGUAUGUACGUAUUACAUAUACUAGGUUUUUGUUUGUUUGCUGUAUUCUGGUUGUUGGGUUUUUUCUUAAUUUUCCAUACAAUACAUUUUAAUCUGUUUUCAAGUCUCCAGUUUCUCUCAGAUCCUAACAACCUUUGUACCAUUCCUCUCUCCCUCCCAACUUCUCUGACUGUGUACCUAAAAGACCAGAACAAGCAGAGCUUUAUACCAGACAAAAUCCCAACAUAGAAAAGGGGACAUAGACAUGAAUUCUCACUCCUAACCAAGAAGCUACCUACAAUUAAUACUUUCUGGAGAAAGGAAAAUAAGUUUUCUAUGGAGGAUCACCAAAUGGAUCAGCCACACUCUAGGAUAAGCACUAUGCCCAGGAGUAGUUGGCCAAAACAAAACAGAUACCAGGCUUUUUGGGGGAAGGGGGUCAUUUGGUUUAGAUUUUUU
rnacentral:lncRNA from 1 species